rnacentral:rRNA from 1 species
UAAUACGAAGGGUGCAAGCGUUAAUCGGAAUUACUGGGCGUAAAGCGUGCGUAGGUGGUUGUUCAAGUCUGUCGUGAAAGCCCUGGGCUCAACCUGGGAAUGGCGAUGGAAACUGGGCGACUGGAGUGCGGUAGAGGAUGGCGGAAUUCCCGGUGUAGCGGUGAAAUGCGUAGAGAUCGGGAGGAACAUCCGUGGCGAAGGCGGCCAUCUGGACCAGCACUGACACUGAGGCACGAAAGCGUGGGGAGCAAACAGGAUUAGAUACCCUGGUAGUCCACGCCCUAAACGAUGCGAACUGGAUGUUGGUCUCAACUUGGAGAUCAGUGUCGAAGCUAACGCGUUAAGUUCGCCGCCUGGGGAGUACGGUCGCAAGACUGAAACUCAAAGGAAUUGACGG